CAUCCCAUAUCCCCACCGAUACAAUCCUCUUUCUCGGUGCACAACAACAGCGAUGACGAAGACAACAACCAAGAAAGAAACAUAGGGGAGAGGCGUAGACACCUGCUUUGAGGGUUUGGCUUUGUUCCCCAUCUGUCUUGAUGCCCAUCUGAAUUCUCUCCGAGCCUUCCUCGACUGUAUCUUUUUUCUCUCUCCCUCUCUCUCUUUCUAUCCCUCUUUCAUUCAUUGAAAGCUCCAUUGGUGCUUCUUCCAUGUAAUUCCAAAAGAGGCAUUUAAUUUCUUCGACAAGCUUGAAUAUUUUAAGAGUUGCCCACAAACCCACGCAACCUCAGCUCUCAGGGUAUUUGAGGUGAAAGAGUAUUGCUUUCUGGGUUGUUUGUAUUCCUUCAGUGAUUUUAAGACUUGGGUAGCUGAGGUUAAUGGUAUAUACUUCUUGGUCUGUGUCUAUGAUUAUAUGAUUUCGGCAUUUGAGGUUGAGCAGCAUUGGCAUCUG